CCCUUAGAUGUUCUGGGCCGCACGCGUGCUACACUGAGUGGAUCAGCGGGUCAGGUUGCGCGAAAGUGUUUCCUAAUCUUUAAAUCCGCUCGUGAUGGGGAUUGACGGUUGCAAUUUUCCGUCAUGAACGAGGAAUACCUUGUAAGCGCGGGUCAUCAUCCCGCGCUGAAUACGUCCCUGCCCUUUGUACACACCGCCCGUCGCUCCUACCGAUUGAGUGGUCCGGUGAAGCUUUGGGAUCUGAGCGGAAAGAGCGUUUCGCUGUUUCUGCCCGGAAAACUCAGUCGAACCUUAUCAUUUAGAGGAAGGAGAAGUCGUAACA
rnacentral:rRNA from 1 species